UUUUACCCAAGAAGAAGUAUUUGCAAAGUGUCAAACAUUACACAGUUCAUUGAGUAUGUAGCCAAUUGUAUGUAUCUACAGCAUAGCAGUUUAUUCCUCCAAAAUCAUCUAUGAAAUGAUAACUUACAACAUAGACUAACAAAAUAUAUCACAUCAAGGUUAGGAACCAGUACAAUCCAUUUUACAUCAACGGAACAUAUAAACUAUUAAGACUCUUAUUCAUGGUCUUGUCCACGGCCCUCCUGUGCAAUUAUCAUGUCGUGGCUGAUUGUGAUAGGCAACACCAAGUAGCUCGUUAUCCAAUCUCACCUAGCAUAUUUAUAUUACAAGAAUAUUAGAUAUUUGAAGAUAUGAAUAGAUAGUAGACAUAAAAGAAUUACAAGAAAGAUAAAAAUAAAUUACAUGUUGUGUAAGAUUCUUAAAUGUUUAUGAUGCAAGUACAUCUCAAAGGGCUGACCAAUAGUAAAAAUACUUGCUGCUGACUUGACCAACAUAGUGCUAUUAUUUAUAAUAGGAAACAAUAAUGAAAUGAAAUGAACCAGAAUAUAUGUAUACAAUAUGACAACAGUAGGAACAAGGCUUGCACAUGUAUAGCAAACCUCAUCAGCUUGCACGAGAACUACAAACUUAGUCUAUACAUGGCUUAAAAAUUAUUUCACGGUUAUUAAGGUACAUGCCAAAUCGGUAAUGUAUCGAAGCAAUGCAAGGUUAUUAAGGUACAAGCCAAAGUUUGAAGUUCCUUUUCUUUAUUGGUUCAUCUUGUACAUAUUGUAUUUUAGAUAUGCUCAGUCUAGGGGAACCAAAAAGGUAUCAGCAUGAAACAAAAAACACUGCUUAACUAUAAAAUCGUAGCACAUAUCCUCCAACAAUUUUAUAUUUAACAUCUUCAGUGCAAAUCAGAAGCAUGUUUAUGUUUCUUGUGAUCUUAAUUAGUGUAACAACACACAUAUACAUAAUAGUAAAAAGUCACCUUAGUUUACGCAAUCUAGAAUACUUCAUGCACACAAUUGACAAGUAUGACAUGGGAACUCAGGGGGCUUACAUGUACAACAUGGAGUAGCAAUCACUAAGCUGUUUUGGUGGAAUUGCAUAAGGAAAGGGUUUUUUUUCAAACAUCUCAGCAAACUUGUGAAAGGCACACCUACAAUAGGAAUGUUUCAACAUCUCCACCUAUGGGGCAGCAAGUUGUGUAACAAGAAAUCAGAGAAAGAGAGUCAAAUCAUAGUGAAAUCCAAGGCAUAAGCAAGAAGAUAAAUUGGAUUGUUUUAUAUCAAAUCAAGGCCUAGAAAUGUGCAGAGAUAUUCAGUGGUGGACAUUGUGAAGACCAUACUUAUUUUUUCUCUACAUUUACAAAAUGAAUAAUCUGAUAUUGUUAGUUACUUGUCAAGCAUAUCCUAGUUUGAAUUUUCUUCGAAACGUUCUAAAAAAGGAGCCUCUGCUUUCUGUGUAUACGUGCAAAAACAAUAUAUUACCCAUGAGCCUCUGCAUUAAAAAACCAAGUUAACCAGCAUGAGAACAAAUCUAGAUAAUAACAAAGAUAUAUCAACUGGGUAUGCUAAAUAGGACUUAAGAGGACAAAUCUUCAAGCACUACACUUAUCUAACUUUGCACCAGUUUCCAUUGUAAAUAAAUAAAUUAGAUUGUCCGAUGGAGGCAUCUAGUACAUAAUAUCCUGAACAUGGUGACAGAGAAGAAGUGUAGUUAACAAACAGUCUACUCUUGGUCAAUCGAUUCAGUGAGAUUAAUGAAUUACUUUCCCU
rnacentral:lncRNA from 1 species